GACAGAGGUCCCGAGCGUUGUUCGGAUUCAUUGGGCGUAAAGGGCGCGUAGGCGGCCUGUGCAAGUCAGUUGUGAAAUCUCCGGGCUUAACUCGGAACGGUCAACUGAUACUGCUCGGCUAGAGUGCGGAAGGGGCAACUGGAAUUCUUGGUGUAGCGGUGAAAUGCGUAGAUAUCAAGAGGAACACCUGCGGCGAAGGCGGGCUACUGGGCCGAUACUGACGCUGAUGUGCGAAAGCCAGGGGAGCGAACGGG
rnacentral:rRNA from 1 species